rnacentral:lncRNA from 1 species
CUACAUUCAACAAUGCUUGGUUAAACUAGGAUGGAUGAGGAGUAUCCAGGAUCCUCAGUUGCCUCUCUAACUAGCUCCCCAAGGCUACUAUGUGUCUCAUCUUGAGCCAAGCUUGAAUGAGUCAUGCCUAAAGGAAUCCAGAGGGAAUAAAACAAAGAAACGAUGGUCACUGUGUCCUAUUUGCCGUGUCCUCUUCUUAUAAGGAGGAGCCAAGAAGCAGAUGAUGAAACAGCCUGUUUAAGAUUCUGAGAGAUUGGGUGUUGAUACAACCUGGAUUGUGAAGAAAUUCUGCCAACAUAUGGGUUUGGACAGAGCUUCUGAACAACCAGAAGCCAUCAGAAUCUCAGAGAUUGGAGUCUUAUGAACACACACAGAAGUUGUACCCUCAAGGCCACAUGAAGAAGGUAAAGAAGGACCCCGAUUUACAUACAUGGGACACACUGUUACAAUUAUGUUCAAGAAGUG